rnacentral:rRNA from 1 species
AAUCAACGCUGGCGGCGUGCCUCAGACAUGCAAGUCGAACGAUUAAACUUUCCUUCGGGAAAGAUAUAAAGUGGCGCACGGGUGAGUAACACGUAAGUAAUCUACCUUCGAGUGGGGAAUAACGUCCGGAAACGGACGCUAAUACCGCAUAAUGCAGCGGCAUCGCAAGAUGACAGUUGUUAAAGGAAUUUAUUUCGCUUGAAGAGGAGCUUGCGGCAGAUUAGCUUGUUGGAAGGUAACGGCUUACCAAGGCUACGAUCUGUAACCGGUCUAAGAGGACGGUCGGUCACACUGACACUGAAUAACGGGUCAGACUCCUACGGGAGGCAGCAGUCGGGAAUUUUGGGCAAUGGGCGAAAGCCUGACCCAGCAACGCCGCGUGAAGGAUGAAGUAAUUUCGGUAUGUAAACUUCGAAAGAAUAGGAAGAAUAAAU